UCAUCAAGAUUUUGUUUUCAUCUUUUCACACAAUGACAUAUAGUUAUCCCUUGAGUUGUAUGAUAAACCUGAGCUGAUUUUUUAAUAUUAAAAUAAGUGGUUUAUUAAUGCGGUGCUUAUGAUGACAUCCGACUUUCAUUCACGUGCUAACUUGGUUUAUUAAUCUGUCGGGUGAAUAAUUAUAUUGAGUUUCACGCUUGAAACUCAGUUUGUGAUAGUUUUAUUGUUGGCCACGCAAUCCUAGAAUGUUGUUAGUAGCAUUCAGAUGGAUUAUUAAAUCUGACCUGAUUUGUUAAUCUUAACGCAAAUGGUUUAUUAAUGCUAUGGUUAUGACUCCCGACUUUCCUUGACAUGCUAACUUGGUUUAUUAAUCUAUCAUGUGAAUGAUCAUAUUGAGUUUCACCCUUGAAACUCAGUUUGUGAUAAUUUUAUUGUUGGCCACCCAAUACUAGAUAUUGUUAGUAGCAUUCUGAUGGCCUUUUGCUUCCUUUACGAGGAGAUAUCUGUCUCACUCAUCUUCUUAUGUUGACGCAUGGUUCUGUCCUGAGUUUCUUGAGCUCCAUAUGUGAAGCUUCUGAUGGAACUUUGCAAACAGAUGACGGCAGAAACAGUUUCGGCAACAAGAAGUAAGAAUGCACCAGCUGAAAAGCUCCAAGAUACAAGGGCUUUUGGGAAGCCAUCAGAAACUAAGUUUCCAUCAGGUGUGGCCAGUGAGAAGCAGCGGGGUGAAGAUGGUCAGACUCAAGGGACAUAUAUUGUUGGUGGGUCUGCUUUUUUCUUGAAUUUCAUUAUAUUUGUAGGCGAAGAACCAGUCUACUAUGGAAUAACAAAGGAGGCAUUUUGAGCUAAUGGCAGCAAAGAAACAGUUCUGUAAUCGUUCUGUUAUCUUAGACUGUGAUUGCUAGCAGAAAAUAUUAAUCCUACCCCAUUAUAUAUAUAAAAAAAGGGGGAUUUCAUUGAUGAUUUCAUUAGAAUGGUUAUUCACCUUGAUUCUUCAAAUGGGAUCAAUGGAUGUUUUAAAUUUGUAAUAUUUGAAUGGAUGUAAUGAUUUGAUGAACUAAAAUUUAUGUCAGCAAUAUAGAAAGACAGGCUGUUUGAUUAGUA